UUGGAUUUGGAUAGAAAACUCUUUAAGCGAAGCAGAGUGCCAAAAUAUAAAUUGCAGUUUUCAUUUCUGUUUUUGACGAGUAUCUUUUGUUCUCUUUUGCGUUUUGUCAAUGUUUUGUCAAUAAACUGUUUCCUCGCUUAAUUAACUUCUCCUAAUUUAUUUCAGAACGAGAUCGUGAGCUGUACUUCCCAAACUACUACUUUUUCGCCGAUAGACGGUUGAUCAAGCACACAAUAAAAACAUUAUUCGUUAAGGACUUGGACAACUGUGAACUUUUUUGUUAUCAGCAUGACAACUGUGUCAGUAUUAAUAUUAAAAAAAAUCCCGACAGCGCAACAGGACAACAGGAAUGUGAGCUAAAUAAUUCCACUCACAUGGAGCAUGGUGAAGACCUGACAGCUGACAACGCUUACCUUUAUCGCGGAGCGAAGAACGCUUGUGGAAACAACCCGCCAUGCCUCAACAACGCGAUUUGUUAGUCAGGAUUUACAGACAAAGGAUAUCGAUGUUUGUGCUAUCCUGGAUUCAAAGGCGAAUACUGCGACAAAGAUAUUAACGAAUGCUCUUCAGCGGCGCCAUACUGUAGUGCUGAUGCUACUUGCCACAAUACCAUAGGUUCAUACCAAUGCAGAUGUAAGCAAGGAUUUUCAGGAGACGGAAAGGAAUGCAAAGGUUAGUGUAUAUCUCGCGAUGUUCUUAUAGCAUUUUUUUUUUCAAAAAUACUGCUCUACUUGUCAUUUGCGCACUA